rnacentral:rRNA from 1 species
GGCCGGCUUGGUGAAGUGGUUGGCCGCCGGCCCGGGAUUGGAACCCUGGUUUUUUACCCCAAACUYAAAAAGGAMMWUMRGAUGGUCUUACGCGUGUAACGCAUCGUAAUAUAACUUUCAGCAACGGAUCUCUUGGCUCUCGCAUCGAUGAAGAACGCAGCGAAAUGCGAUAAGUAAUGUGAAUUGCAGAAUUCAGUGAAUCAUCGAAUCUUUGAACGCACCUUGCGCUCCUUGGCAUUCCGAGGAGCAUGCCUGUUUGAGUGUCAUGAAACUCUCAACCCCUGCCAUCUUUGCGGAUGAGCGUCGGUUGGAUUUUGGAGGUUGCCGGACUCGUUCGGCUCCUCUUGAAAGCAUAGUAAAGCUUGGACCUGACCGACCGGGUGGACGUGAUAGAAAGUCACCGUCGACCGAAGGGUCCGUCGCUGAACGGUUCAAGCUUUGUUUGUCGUCUUCGGACGAACAUCUCUGACCUCKACCUCAAAUCAGGUAGGACUACCCGGUAG